rnacentral:piRNA from 1 species
UCCUGUUCAAUCCUACUUUGG